CCGCGCGAAGUUGUGCGCAGGCGCUGCACGCGACGGCCGCAGCCGCGGGUCGUGGGUAGCGCAGUGCGAACUCGGCCGUCAGCGUCCGGCAUGAAGCGCCGGGGUCUGGCUCCCGUCUCGUCGCUCCAGUGCCAUGGCAUGCUUGCGGAGCCUGUCCUGGCGGACCUCAUGCACCCUGGUCUUGGGGCUGGCUCCGGUGUCCCGCCACGUUGUCUACUGCGGCCGCACGGCCGACCUUCUCGGACGGAGCCGGGCCGCUCCGCUGUGCGCGCCCCGCCGGCUCCGCGCGGCAGGUGAAAUACAUCGAUUUAGAACCUCCGAUGCCUCUCAAGCCACCUUAGCCAGCGUGUCCCCGGUGUUCACUGUGACAAAAUUUGACAAAGAGGGUAAUGUUACUUCUUUUGAAAGGAAGAAAACUGAAUUAUACCAAGAGUUGGGUCUUCAAGCCAGAGAUCUGAGAUUCCAGCACGUCAUGAGCAUCACAACCAGAAACAAUAGGAUUAUUAUGAGGAUGGAGUAUGUGAAAGCUGUCAUAACUCCAGAGUGUCUUCUGAUACUGGAUUAUCGUAACUUCAAUUUAGAGCAGUGGCUGUUCCGGGAACUUCCUUCGCAGCUGGCUGGAGACGGUCAACUUGUCACAUACCCAUUACCCUUUGAGUUCAGAGCUAUAGAAGCACUUUUGCAAUACUGGAUCAACACUCUGCAGGGGAAACUCAGCGUUUUGCAGCCGCUGAUCCUUGAGACACUGGAAGCUCUAGUGGAUCCCAAACACUCUUCUAUAGACAGAAGCAAACUGCACGUCUUACUGCAAAAUGGCAAAAGCCUAUCAGAGUUAGAAACAGACAUUAAAAUUUUCAAAGAGUCGAUUUUGGAGAUCCUGGAUGAGGAGGAGCUGCUGGAAGAGCUCUGUCUGACAAAAUGGAGUGACCCACAAGUGUUUGAGCAGAGCAGCGCUGGCAUUGACCAUGCAGAGGAGAUGGAGCUGCUGUUGGAGAACUACUACCGCCUGGCUGAGGAUCUCUCCAAUGCAGCUCGGGAACUCAGGGCACUGAUCGAUGACUCACAGAGUAUCAUUUUCAUCAACCUGGACAGCCACCGUAACGUGAUGAUGAGAUUGAACCUGCAGUUGACCAUGGGAACCUUCUCUCUUUCACUCUUUGGACUCAUGGGAGUUGCUUUUGGAAUGAAUUUGGAAUCUUCCCUUGAAGAGGACCAUAGAGUGUUCUGGCUGAUUACAGGAAUCAUGUUUAUGGGAAGCGGCCUCAUCUGGAGGCGUCUGCUCUCCUUCCUCGGACGACAGCUGGAAGCUCCUUUGCCUCCUCUGGUAUGAGUAUUGCAGAAGACUGACAUGGGCUCCAAAGUCAGACAACCUGGCUUCUCCUGCGUAGGCUUUGUGAUCUCAUAUGGCCUCUUUACCUAAAAAGACUCUUCUGGCUGAUAGAAGGAUGGAAGUGAGAAGCACACUCAGGCCUGAUGGACUUGGAUCAAGCAGGAACAUCCUUACAAACCGCUAGGAACAGCUGGCCUGAUGGAUCUGGACACUUUAUGGUAGUCACAAAACUUCUGAUACUUUUAUGAUGGAGUUGGACACUUUGGGGAGGGAAGGAAAUCAUUGGUAUGUAUGUCUAAUGAUGAAGGUAUUACAACAGUUCUUAUUGGAUAGAAAAAUGAUUGCAUUUUUCAGAAUUAUGAGCAAAGUGCUUACCUUGUAAAAAGGCAAAAUUGUUUUUAUUGAUGUGAGUCAUGGAGAGAUUAGUUCAACACAAGAGCAGUCAGUUAUAUGGACUUCAUUUAUACACAGCAAGAAAAGUGCCAUUUCCUGUGGAACAAAGCCUAGAAACUUGCCAACUCGUAGUUAUAAGAUCAGGAUCCUUAGUUCUUGGUCCGUGCAAGGAAUCAUGUUGGUGUGAUUGCCUAACCCUCAGGUGACUGAAAAGCUUUAUUUGCCUCCUUUUUUAUAUAUGAUGAAUCCCAGUCAAAUUUCAGCCCUCUUUGAUUUGCUCUAAUUAGAACCUUGGGAUGUAAAGUUGAAGCAUUUGUGUUGUGUUCAGUGCCUGAGGGAAGGAAAAUGCAGAUACCCCAGCUGCUGCCUGUACCUCAGAAGCUGACAGAUGGCCCUCCUGAAACAAGAGGGCAGAUAAGGGUUACAGCGUUCACCUUUUCACUGUUAAACAGAUGGCUUAUAUUGGUAAGUCUGACAGCUGCUACCUACUUAAUAUUUACUGUCCAGCAAAUACCAACAGAGUGAAAUGUGCCUCCAAAAGUGGCCGGAGCAGCUCUCCUACUAGCAAUGUUUCAGUAAUAAACAACUCAGGUGUGAGGGAUCCUGAUUAGCCCGUGGUGUUGGGACUGUGAUGCUUUGAAAGAAAAUAAUUUACAAGAGAGGGAGCACUUUGCACUGCAUGGGGUACUUGUUGCAAGGGGACUGGGUUCUUGGAAUCCCAAAGGGCAGAAUUUGAGCAAUUCUGGUCACUUGUCUUUGUUGUUACUGACAGUUUUGAGUCGAGCCUUGUCCUGUUAGUAAAAGGGCAAAUGUGUAACUACCUCAUGGUUCCUGUUGGUUUGCAACAUAUUUGAAGGUAGUUAGAUCAAGUCUGAUCUCAAAAUGUCAGCUAAUGGGUGAUUGCUGGAUACUUUUUACAGCAAAGUUCUUAUAAUAAAACCAGUGCUCCAAGAGAGGAAGUUCACUGGUAAAGUAGACUGAACACGUCGGCUGUUUGUAAACAGGGUGGUAAAAUACCAACCAGUAUGAGACAGCCCUCUUCAGACUGCUCUCAUCUUGGAGGACUUUCCAGUGGUACCUGUUGUGCCUUCAGAGGAUUGUGUUCACAGAAACUGAUGGACACUAACCACUUUCAUAUUAGAGCUAUUUUGGUAACUUAUUCCCAGAGUUGCAUGUAGCCUUGGAAUUGAGGUAAUAAAGUCACACUAAAAUUAGGAUUUACCUUUAUCCUUUUAGUUUCAUCCUGUUAUGCAGACAUAAAAUGAUUCCAGUCCUGAAGAAAGUUGUUACAGUACCAAGAAAAUGCAAAUGUCUGAUAAAUUGAAAUAAAGAAUUUUAACUUAAAACUGUUACAUACAUUUAGUUUCUCAUUAACACAAAUCAAACUAUAAGGUAUUUCCAUUGCAGUUAGUGGAAUCAGCAUAAUCAUCCUGGUAUGCUAGAUUUUUACAUAUUUGCCAUAUAAGCUGACCUUCAACAGAAGUAUAGUUUAUGUCACUUGUGUUAGUAUGACAGGUAAAUAUCCUAUAGACUUGAAGAUUGGUUUGCAACUCUAUAGAUUUUAACUUCCACCUAAUACUUGCUGUGUUUAGCAUUGAAGUUACACAUUCUGAAUAAUGAUCCUGUUAAACUUGGGCUCCGUCAUUAGUGCAGCAUGAAAACAGUGAUCUCUUCCACCACCAUGGGACUUCUCAGGAAAGGCUUAGCCCGGACUUCUCAGCCUGUGAGCGAAUCAAGCCGAGAGAUUUCUAGUCCCCAAAAAAUAACCAACAGGAACUGCCAGUACCUGGUACCCAGACAAAAACAGGGUUUCCCUGUGGCACAGGGAGCUAGACCAGGAGGUGCAACCUGCGCAUGUACCUGUGCUGCUCUUGCCCAGCUGUACUCACAUCACGGGAGCUUUUCCCGGGGGUCUGGUUUCACUUUCUGCUCCUCAGCUGGAUUCCUCCCGUCUCUGCCUCUAGAGAACCUGCCUAUCAUUUCACCAGGCAGCAGACAGUAAUGCCUGCCCCUGUGUAGUGAAGACGAACCUCAUGAUCCGUUCUUCUCCCUUAAAUCUGCCGGACUGACAGAUGAAGUCACCCGACCUGCAGACAGCCGGGAACAAGGCAGGGUCUGCUUCCCUCUUCCCCGCCCCACUCCCUCAGACCUGGUCUCCUUCCUGCUUGAAUUCUGUUGGUGCAGCACAAAGUGACCAAAUGCAGGAAAGGGCCUCGUGGGCUGACAUGAAACUAGUAGAGAGGCAGGAGGCUCAGCGCCCGUUGCAGCCGCUGCCUCUGGAGGAGGAUAGAGCUCAGAAAGCAGAGGAGUCCUCAUUCAGAAAGGACCGGAUCUCUUACCGCAGGGGGAGGUCACCUUCACCCCCACCUCCCCUCCUGGGCCCUUAGUCUUUUCCUAUAGACUAAGCUUUCUAUUAUACUUUGCUAAAAUGGGCCACUGUGUUUUUUAAAAGGUUUCAGGCGGAAUCGUAUACAGAGGUUGUACAGAGGGACGUGGACUGAGCUAGGAGAGAAGCAAAGAUGGGAACUUCAGGAAAGGACUUGAAUGACCAGAGUGUAUGUUUCCUGUGCUCCCGGGGCCAUCAUGUGGUUACCGUGUCCUAGUCCCAGAGCAUCUAGGUGCUGGUGCGUGUCUACUCCCAAGAACCUCUGCCUCUACAAGGAUCUCCCACAGCUCCACUGGAUGCUGUACUGUCCAUCAGACACCCACCCUGCAGGUUCCUCACCGGCUGGAAAUGAGGGAAUGGGUGUGGGCGAAGUGGAGUGAAGUUUUCAGUCUGAGCCCAGGUUGUAGACAUGAAGUGCCCCAGAGAGCCGGGCUCCCAGAGAGCUCCUCCCAGCAGCAAUGACAACUUGGUUCUGUAGGGACACAAUACAGAGCGUUGAUGGGUCAGUUGUGGCGUAUGUCAUGUCCUACAAUGCUCUGGAAGUACUAGGUGAGUGAGACACCAGCCAGAUCCCAGACUUAAACGCCUCUUUCCCUUUGCUCGACACCACAGCUCAGGACAUGCACACCAGUCCCUUCCCUUGCACAGGAAGGGAAAGCACACCAGCUCCUUCUUAUCCUAGAUCCUUGGUGAUGGUGCAACAUAACCUAUCUGGAGGGGCUGGUGCUGCAGCGUAGCGGGUAAAGCCGCCAUGUGAGUGCUGGUUCGAGUCCCAGCUGCUCCACUUCCAAUCCAGCUCUCUAUGGCCUGGGAAAGCAAUAGAUGACCCAAGUCCUUGGGCCCCUACACAAGAAGCUCCUGGUUCCUGGCUUCAAAUCGGCAUAGCUCCAGCCAUUGUGGCCAGUUGGGGAGUGACCCAGCAGAUCGAAGACCUCUCUACCUCUCCUUCUCUGUGUAACUCUUUCAAAUCUUACACACCACCUAUCUGGAGAAGGACCUCCCCAGGGCUGGCUGUUGGAGAUGUGUUUCCACCUCGCCCCUGCUCCUGGGAACAUUUCAGGACUUUCAGAACUGCUCCAAAGCCUGCUGCAAGUUUUUAAACAUCCUCAGAUGUAGUAAGGUCUUCAUACGUCAUGGGUGGAUUGGAUAUUCAGGAACUGCGAAGUUACUCUGAAUGCAGGCUGGUAAGUGAGGUGUGGGUGAUCACACCAGCUUACACUGUUUGGGCUUGGGCCCGAGCAGGCUGGGAAGGCUUGUCAUUGAUUUAACUCUGAACACUACAGCUGUAAUCCAGUAAUAAGAUCUGUAAUAACUGGAAAUUACUGAGCCUCUAUCAUGUAUCAGAUUCUUUGCUUGGUUUACCUUUUAAUACCUCAGUGUCAGGGCCAGUGCUGUGGUGCAGCAGGUGAGCCUGCUGGCUUGAGCAGAUGAAUUAAGUGUCCUUUCUGUACACCACUGCUAAAUCAUCUGUACCAUUACUGUCUCCAAGUUGUGUAAAUAUGGUGGUUUUAUAUGUGUAUGUGCUUGAUUAUAUCUUAAUUUUUGGAAAAUAAAAGUUUAAAUACA